AUGGAAGGCCUCUUGCAUUGGGACUUUGCACCUGGCCUUGCAUUGGCCGAUCAGGUGAGACGCAGGUUUGGCUCCACGGUCCAUUUCUCUCCUUCUCGGGACUCCAAGGAAUUUUUUUUGGUGGUCUCUUUCUCCUCGGCUUCCUUCCCCCUCACUGUGGAUUCGGUUGGCAUUGCACUACAAUGCUGUAUUGGGGGCCUUAGCAAUGGAUUCAAAGUGCUUCAACUCAAUUCUCGAUCCUUCCGGUUUUCGGUGGCUAAUAAUAAAGUGGGACAUUUCAUCCACCAUUUGAGGGAUCGUGUUUGGCCGGAUUUUGUAUGUCAUUUCCACCUUUUCAAUGGCCGUUUUGCAAGUGCUCCAAUUGAUGAUUCAUGUUGGCACGCUGACACUGAGCUCACGGAUUUAUCUUCUCGUCGUUCAUUGGCUGUUAAAUCAUCUUUACAAUUCCUGCAUUCGGGAGCUAACUUGAAUUCUAACUCUGAGGAGGUGUUGUGUAAGUUUGGUCUGAUUCCGUUUUCUUCGAUGCGGUUCUCCAACAAUGCUCAUGAAGCGUCCUCAUCACGCUUGAAUCAAAAUUCACAGGAUCUUACGACAUCAGUUCUUACUAUGGGGGAUCCUGCUGAUCCUUCCUCAUGA
rnacentral:rRNA from 1 species